UACGGAGGGUGCGAGCGUUGUCCGGAAUCACUGGGCGUAAAGGGCGCGUAGGCGGUUCGUUAAGUUGCUGGUGAAAUCCCGGGGCUCAACUCCGGGGCUGCCAGUAAGACUGGCGGGCUAGAGCACGGUAAAGGCAGAUGGAAUUCCCGGUGUAGCGGUGGAAUGCGUAGAUAUCGGGAAGAAUACCGGUGGCGAAGGCGUUCUGCUGGGCCGUUGCUGACGCUGAGGCGCGACAGCGUGGGGAGCAAACAGG
rnacentral:rRNA from 1 species